rnacentral:rRNA from 1 species
AUACCAUCCCUGAUCGGUUCUCGUUAGAUCACCGAAGUCAAGCAUCAUUGGGCGCGGUCAGUACUUGGGUGGGUGACCACCUGGGAACACCGCGUGCCGUU